GUCAGAAUGGACGAGUGGUUUAAGGCGCCAGACUUAAGAUCUAGUCCUCGUAUGAGGGUGUGGGUUCGAACCCCACCUCUGACA